AUUCUAAGGCGCGUGGAAGAACUCUCUUUAAGGAACUCUGCAAAAUAGCACCGUAUCUUCGGUAUAAGGUGUGGUUCGCUUCGUAUUAGGAUUUACUCCGAAAGCGAAGAAACUUACAACAAAGAGUCCCUCCCGACUGUUUACCAAAAACACAGCACUCUGCUAACUCGUAAGAGGAUGUAUAGGGUGUGACGCCUGCCCGGUGCUCGAAGGUUAAUUGAUGGGGUUAGCAUUAGCGAAGCUCUUGAUCGAAGCCCGAGUAAACGGCGGCCGUAACUAUAACGGUCCUAAGGUAGCGAAAUUCCUUGUCGGUUAAAUACCGACCUGCAUGAAUGGCGUAACGAGAUGGGAGCUGUCUCAAAGAGGGAUCCAGUGAAAUUGUAGUGGAGGUGAAAAUUCCUCCUACCCGCGGCAAGACGGAAAGACCCCGUGGACCUUUACUACAGCUUGACACUGCUAUUUGGAUAAGAAUGUGCAGGAUAGGUGGGAGGCUUUGAGUAUAUGACGCCAGUUGUAUAUGAGCCAUUGUUGAGAUACCACUCUUUCUUAUUUGGGUAGCUAACCAGCUUGAGUUAUCCUCAAGUGGGACAAUGUCUGGUGGGUAGUUUGACUGGGGCGGUCGCCUCCCAAAUAAUAACGGAGGCUUACAAAGGUUGGCUCAGAACGGUUGGAAAUCGUUCGUAGAGUAUAAAGGUAUAAGCCAGCUUAACUGCAAGACAUACAAGUCAAGCAGAGACGAAAGUCGGUCUUAGUGAUCCGGUGGUUCUGUGUGGAAGGGCCAUCGCUCAAAGGAUAAAAGGUACCCCGGGGAUAACAGGCUGAUCUCCCCCAAGAGCUCACAUCGACGGGGAGGUUUGGCACCUCGAUGUCGGCUCAUCGCAUCCUGGGGCUGGAGCAGGUCCCAAGGGUAUGGCUGUUCGCCAUUUAAAGCGGUACGCGAGCUGGGUUCAGAACGUCGUGAGACAGUUCGGUCCCUAUCUGCCGUGGGCGUAAGAAGAUUGAAGAGAUUUGACCCUAGUACGAGAGGACCGGGUUGAACAAACCACUGGUGUAGCUGUUGUUCUGCCAAGAGCAUCGCAGCGUAGCUAAGUUUGGAAAGGAUAAACGCUGAAAGCAUCUAAGCGUGAAGCCAACUCUAAGAUGAAUCUUCUCUAAGCUCUCUAGAAGACUACUAGUUUGAUAGGCUGGGUGUGUAAUGGAUGAAAGUCCUUUAGCUGACCAGUACUAAUAGAGCGUUUGGCUUAUCUUU
rnacentral:rRNA from 1 species